rnacentral:rRNA from 1 species
AUUGAACGCUGGCGGCAUGCCUUACACAUGCAAGUCGAACGGCAGCGGGGACUUCGGUCCGCCGGCGAGUGGCGAACGGGUGAGUAAUGUAUCGGAACGUACCUUUCAGUGGGGGAUAACGUAGCGAAAGUUACGCUAAUACCGCAUAUUCUGUGCGCAGGAAAGCAGGGGAUCGCAAGACCUCGCGCUGAUUGAGCGGCCGAUAUCAGAUUAGCUAGUUGGUGGGGUAAAGGCCUACCAAGGCGACGAUCUGUAGCGGGUCUGAGAGGAUGAUCCGCCACACUGGAACUGAGACACGGUCCAGACUCCUACGGGAGGCAGCAGUGGGGAAUUUUGGACAAUGGGGGCAACCCUGAUCCAGCCAUGCCGCGUGAGUGAAGAAGGCCUCGGUUGUAAG